UAUUAAAGAAUGGCAGGCAUUUUCAGAAGUAUCCUCUCUCAGCCUGACAUUUUAAAAGCAGUUUGUGACUUGCUGUUCUCUGCCUAAGUAUUGCUGAUGUCUGUAUGCAUUUGAUUUUGGACUGGAGUUAUUCAUUUCAGGUUUUUACUUCACUGUCAUUAAAAAUGUUACUUCUGCACUGUUCCAAGAUGCUGACUCAACUUGAAAAGGUUUUGGCAAAGAAAAGACUAUCACAGUCCUUGACGGUAUGGGGUGCUCUGUGUAACAUCAACAAAGGGAAUCCUUUUCACAUGGAGAUCGUGGUGGACUCCUGGCCGGAUUUCAGUACUGUUAUUUGCCGUCGGAUAAAAAAGGAGGGGGAACACUCUAACAGUAAAUGGCUCAAUGGGUGUAGCCUAUUUGCAACUGACAUGGAUAACCUGAAGAAGCUUUUACAGAAAGAGGAUGUGCUGUUUUGGGAUCGGCCAUUUAACCUCGAUGGAGUUCCUUUGCCCCUUUACAAGGUGAUAAGAGAUGCUGCAUCUUGCAGAAAUGUGACAUGUGAACUGUACCCAGGAGUAUAUGAUACAUUGUUAAUAGAUGACCCCAGUAUUCUGCCUGACAUGCCAGAGGAGAGGAUAAAGAGUUUAUCACUUACUUCACUUAAUACCUCCCAUGCUGAGCUUAUCAACUCAAUUUGGUCUUUUGGUGGGACAGAUGACGUUGUUGUCUACCUUCGAGAACUCCUUGAUUACUUCCCAGGUGCAUGCAUACUGAGCAGCUCUGGAAAUCCCAUCUCAUGGACUCUUACAAACCAAUUCCGUGCAAUAUGUAUGGGGUACACCUUGCCACAGUAUCGCAAGAUGGGAUAUACCACACACACAGUUCUUGCUGUAAGCAAGGCUUUAUGUUCCUCAAGUUGCCCACCAUAUGGAUUUGUUGAUCCUGCUAAUCAUAUUAUGCAGAAAAUAAUGGAGAAAUUAGGCUUUAGAAAGCACAGUGAUGAGAUUGUGUUUGCUGAGUUCAGGCCAUGUGGGGGCGCCGUUUCUCUCAGUGAAGGAUUUACUGGAGCAGCUGUCUAAUACCAGAGAGGGGCUACAUCCUGGUAUACUAACUGUACACAGAUAAAUACUUAUUUCUGGAUAAAGAGUUUAUCACUUACUUCACUUAAUACCUCCCAUGCUGAGCUUAUCAACUCGACUUGGUCUUUUGG